GAUCAUGGCUCAGAUUGAACGCUGGCGGCAGGCUUAACACAUGCAAGUCGAACGGUAACAUAAAGAAGCUUGCUUCUUUGAUGACGAGUGGCGGACGGGUGAGUAAUGCUUGGGAAUCUGGCUUAUGAGGGGGAUAACUACGGGAAACUGUAGCUAAUACCGCGUAAUAUCGAGAGAUUAAAGUUGUGGGGACCGUUCGGGUCCGACAUGCCNUAAGAUGAGCCAAGUGGGAUUAGGUAGUUGG
rnacentral:rRNA from 1 species